rnacentral:lncRNA from 1 species
GUAUAUCGACUUGUACAUCAGGAGCUAUCUUGUCCGCAAGACCAACAUCUUCAGUGAGCUCGCUGAUGUUUGCAUCAGUGCUCUUCUUGACUGCUUCAAUUUCCAUGGUUCCAGUGCCCUUCACUUCUUCUGCUGGUAGGUCAGGUGCUGAUUUGUUUUCUUCCAUCUCAACAGGUUCAGCAUUCUCGAGCUCUUGUAGUUCUGACACUUGUGCUUCUGGUAUAUCAUCUGUUGCCUCAGCUGCCAUUACAUGUUCUUCAGGAGCUGCCUCAUCUGCAUGAGCAACAUUGCCUCUUACAUCCUCGGUGAGCUCACUGAUGUUUACAUCAGCGAUCUCGUUGAUUGCUUCAGUUUUCUUGGCUUCAGUCUCCUUCACCUCUUCUGCCGACAGCUCAUUUGCUGAUAUGUUUUCUUCCACUUCAAUAGGUUCAGUAUUCUUGAUUUCUUCUAGGUCUAGCUCUUGUGCUCGUGGGAUAUCAACUGGUGCCUCAGUUGCUAUUACAUGCUCUUCAGGAGCAGCCUCAUCUGCAGGAGCAACAUUGCUUGUCACAUCCUCAGUGAGUUCGCUGAUGUUUGCAUCAGGGCUCUUGUUGAUUGCUUCAGUUUCCUUCACCACUUCUGCUUGCAGGCCACUUGCUGAUCUAUUUUCUUCCACCUCAACUGGUUCAACACUCUUGAUCUCUUCUAGUUCCGGCUCCUGUGCCUGUGGUAUAUCAAAUGUUGUCUCAGCUACUGUUACAUGCUCUGCAUGAGGUUCCUCGUCUGCAGGCACAACGUUGCUUUUCACAUCCUCAUUGAGCUCACUGAUGUUUGCAUCAGUCCUUUUGCUGAUUGCUUCAGUUUCCUUCACCUCUUCUUCUGGCAGGUCACCUGCUUCAGUAUUCUUGAUCUCUUCUAGCUCUGGCUCUUGUGCAUGUGGUAUAUCGACUGUUGUCUCAGCUACUGUUACAUGUUCUUUAUGAGCUGCCUCAUCUGUAAGAGCAAUGUUGCAUUUCAUAUCUUCAGUAAGCUCACUGAUGUUUGCAUCAGUGCUCUCAUUGAUUGCUUCAGUGUCCUUCACCUCUUCUGCCGGUAUGUCACUCGCUGAUGUGUUUUCUUCCACCUCAACAGGUUCAGUAUUCUCGAUCUCUUCUAGUUCUGGUUCUUGUGCUCGUGGAAUAUUAACUGUUCCCUCAGUUGCUAUUAUAUGCUCUUCAUGAGCUGCCUCGUCUGCAGGAUUGACACUGCUUGUCACAUCCUCAAUGAGCUCGCUGAUGUUUGCAUCAAUGCUCUCGUUGAUUGCUUCAGUUUCCUUCACCUCUUCUGCUGGCAAGUUACCUGCUGAUCUGUUCUCCUCCACCUCAACAGGUUCAACAUUCUCAAGAUCCUUUAGUUCCGGCGCUUGUGCUUGUGGUAUAUCAACCGUUGCCUCAGCUGCUAUUACAUGUUCUUCAGGAGCUGCCUCUUCUGCAGGAGUAACAUUGCUUUUCAUAUCCUCAGUGAGCUCACUAAUGCUUGCAUCAGUGCUCUCAUUGAUUGCUUCAGUGUCCUUCACCUUUUCUGCUGGCAGGUCACUUGCUGGUAUGUUUUCUUCCACCUUAACAGGUCUAGUAUUCUGGAUCUCUUCUACUUCUGGCUCUUGUGCUUGUGGUAUAUCGACUGUAUUAUCAGCUACCGUUACAUGUUCUUCAGGAGCUGCCUCGUCUGCAAGAGCAACAUUGCUUUUCACAUCUUCAGUAAGCUCAUUGUUGUUUGCAUCAGUGCUCUCGUUGAUUGCUUCAGUCUCCACGGCUUCACUAUCUUUCACCUCUUCUGCUGGCAGAUCAUUUUCUGAUACAUAUGCUUCCACUUCAGCAGGUUCAGUGUUCUUGGUCUCUUCUAGUUCUGGCUCUUGUGUUCGUGGUAUAUCAACUGUUGCGGCAGUUGCUAUUACAUGUUCUUCAGGAGCUGCCUCGUCUGCACACACGAGAUUGCUUUUCACAUCCUCAGUAAGCUUACUGAUGUUUGCAUCAAUGCUCUCGUUGAAUGCUUCAGUUUCCUUGGCUUCAGUGUCCUUCAUCUCUUCUGCCGGCAUGUCACUAGCUGAUAUGUUUUCUUUCACUUCAACAGGUUCAAUAUUCUUGAUCUCUUCUAGUUCCGGCUCUUGUGCUUGUGCUAUAUCAACUGUUGCCUCAGUUGCUAUUACAUGUUCUUCAGGAGCAGCCUCGUCUGCAAGAGCAACGUUACUUUCCACAUCCUCAGCGAUCUCACUGAAGUUUGCAUCAGUGCUCCCAUUGGUUGCUUCAGUUUCCUUGGCUUCAUUGCCGUUCACCUCUUCUGCCGGCAGGUCACUCGCUGAUAUGUUUUCUUCCACCUCAACAGGUUCAGUAUUCUUGAUCUCUUCUACUUCUGGCUCUUGUGCAUGUGGUAUAUCAACUGUAUCAUCAGCUACUGUUACAUGUUCUUCAGGAGCUGCUUCGUCUGCAAGAGCAACAAUGUUUUUCACAUCUUCAGUGAGCUCACUGUUGUUUGUGUUAGUGCUCUCGUUGAUUGUUUCAGUCUCCAUGGCUUCAGUAUCCUUCACCUCUUCUGCUGGCAGAUCAUUUGCUGAUAUGUUUUCUGCCACUUCAGCAGGUUCAGUAUUCUUGGUCUCUUCUAGUUCUGGCUCUUGUGCUUCUGGUAUAUCAACUGUUGCCUCAGGUGCCAUUACAUGCUCUUCAGGAGCUACCUCCUCUGUAAGGGCAACAUUGUUUUGCACAUCUUCAAUGAGAUCGCUAAUGUUUGCGUCACUGCUCUCAUUGUUUGCUUCAGUUUCCCCCAUCUCUUCUGCAGGCAGGUCGCUUGCUGAUCUAGUUUCUUCCACCUCAACAGGUUCAGUAUUCUUGACCUCUUCUAGUUUCGGCUCUUGUGCUUGUGGUACAUCAACUGUUCUCUCAGCUACUGUUACAUGUUCAUCAUGAGCUGCCUCGUCUGUAAGAGAAACAUUGCUUUGCAC